GUGGGGAAUUUUGGACAAUGGGCGAAAGCCUGAUCCAGCCAUGCCGCGUGCAGGAUGAAGGCCUUCGGGUUGUAAACUGCUUUUGUACGGAACGAAAAGACUCUGGUUAAUACCUGGGGUCCAUGACGGUACCGUAAGAAUAAGCACCGGCUAACUACGUGCCAGCAGCCGCGGUAAUACGUAGGGUGCAAGCGUUAAUCGGAAUUACUGGGCGUAAAGCGUGCGCAGGCGGUUAUAUAAGACAGAUGUGAAAUCCCCGGGCUCAACCUGGGAACUGCAUUUGUGACUGUAUAGCUAGAGUACGGCCGAGGGGGAUGGAAUUCCGCGUGUAGCAGUGAAAUGCGUAGAUAUGCGGAGGAACACCGAUGGCGAAGGCAAUCCCCUGGGCCUGUACUGACGCUCAUGCACGAAAGCGUGGGGAGCAAACAGGAUUAGAAACCCUAGUAGUCC
rnacentral:rRNA from 1 species